rnacentral:rRNA from 1 species
UACGUAGGGUGCAAGCGUUGUCCGGAAUUAUUGGGCGUAAAGAGCUCGUAGGCGGUUUGUCGCGUCUGCUGUGAAAACGCGAGGCUCAACCUCGCGCCUGCAGUGGGUACGGGCAGACUAGAGUGCGGUAGGGGGAGAUUGGAAUUCCUGGUGUAGCGGUGGAAUGCGCAGAUAUCAGGAGGAACACCGAUGGCGAAGGCAGAUCUCUGGGCCGUAACUGACGCUGAGGAGCGAAAGGCGUGGGGAGCGAACAGG